AUUGAACGCUGGCGGCAGGCCUAACACAUGCAAGUCGAGCGGAGCGGCCGACGGGUGAGUAAUGCCUAGGUAUCUGCCUGGUUGCGGGGGCUAACGUCCUGACCCUGGCGCUAAUACCGCAUACUAUCAGAUGAGCCUAGGUCGGAUUAGCUAGUUGGUGGGGUAAUGGCCUACAAAGGCGACGAUCCGUAACUGGUCUGAGAGGAUGAUCAGGCACACUGGAACUGAGACACGGUCCAGACUCCUACGGGAGGCAGCAGUGGGGAAUAUUGGACAAUGGGCGAAAGCCUGAUGCAGCCAUGCCGCGGGUGUGAAGAAGGUCUUAGGGUUGUAAAGCACUUUAAGUUGGGAGGCGUUACCAACAGAAGAAGCACCGGCUAACUUCGUGCCAGCAGCCGCGGUAAUAC
rnacentral:rRNA from 1 species